ensembl:lncRNA
AUGGAGGAGAAGAUUAUUAUUGCAGUCUCAUCAUACCCGGUGAUCUUCAACACCACCUUGGCAAGUUAUAAGGACCGGACGGUCAAGACCAAGGCUUGGCUGAAGGUGAGCGAGGAGGUCGGGCUAACUGAUCUAAGCUGUGAGGAGCCGGAGGCUGCUGCUGCCUCUGAACUCAUUCCACCACCACCACCACCAACUGCUGCUGUCACCACUCCUCCUAUUGCCCCAGUGAGGUCACAAUUCAGAAAAAGGGAGACGGAGAUUGAGGCCUUACUCCUUGAGGUGCUGAGGAAGCAGGCCGCACCUGUGCCUCCACCUGAGCCUCUCAUCCUCUCAGAGGAUGAGCACUUUUUAAAAACAAUACUUCCUUCCCUGCAGCGAUUCACCACCCAAUGCAAAGGAACAAAUUAAAUUCCAAAUGUAUAAAUUAUUGCACGAUGCAAACUGCGUUCAUAAUCCAGUAGAGUUUAAUUUGAUCAAUCAAUUUGGACCAGUCGAUGACUAGGUUCUGGGGUGACAAUCGUUGCAGGGAAUGAUCCAUGCCCAUUUUUUUUUUUUUUUUGUUUACGCACCCCCACACACACACACACACACACACACACACACACACACACACACACACACACACACACACACACACACGCACACACGCACACACACCAAUAAAUUAUUUUUUAUACCAAAAAUGUGUCUUCAUAAUCUUUAUUGAAUGGCCAUUUAUGUUGUUUGAGGGAAAUGUUGCAAAUUAUUUUGUGCCACAGAUUUUGGGGUCCAAGAAACUUUGUUUAAGGUAUUUUUGUCAGUUAUGUUGUGCCCUGCUCGUUGAAGAGCACAACCAAGAACGGGAGGUCCACGCAGCAACAGUUAAAUGAACGUCACAUUUAUUUAGUAACUCGAAAAACCCCACAAAUCAGCAUUCUGUAGUGUAGAGUUGUGUUUACAGUUAAACUAAACUAUGAGUAUGCUAAAGGGCUAGAAUAACAUCCCCAAACAAAACCCAGUUGGGUGCCAGGCAGCACCAGCCUUCCAGGUGGGAGAGCAAGAGCGCCAUGUUGGAUUCCCCCCAUCUUCUGCUUCUUCGGCCUCCUGCAGGUGAGUUCAAUCCCUCAAUGAGGUGGCCAGCCAAUCAGCUUCCCUGGAAGAAGAACAGAGGCCAGCAGAAGGGAAGCAAGACGGCUCAGGACUGUCACAGUUACCUGAUUACAAACUAUAAACUAACAUUAACAAACUUAGUUAAUAAUGGCAUAUUACUGUUGUAUGUUAAGGAGACAUUCUUCAUUAAGUCAGAAGAUCACUGUCAAUAAAGUAAUUUCAGGAAGUUUCCUCAAUAGUAUUGUGUGGGUGGCUCUUAAAAGAGCCGUUUUGGGUGUGCUGGUGCGCUACACGUUGUCUUGCCAUGGGACGGUUCCCUCAGCGGAGAAGUAGGACUUGAAGGCCUCCCGAAUCCUGAUGGCUUCCCUCGCUGAGUUGUUGGCAGCAACUCUCCGUAGACCUGGCAGUGGGUCCACCUCGCCAACUGGGAUGUUCCCCCUCAAUGCACUUGGGGGGGUGGUCCUCCGCAUGAAGUUGUGGAGAAUACAGGUAGCCUUCACACACUUCUCCGCAACCUCAACGUUGACCUCGAAGGCACGCCUGUAGACCCUCCACUGGGAAGAAAGGAUCCCAAAGGCAUUCUCCACAACCAUCCGAGCUUGGGACAGACGGUAAUUGAAAACCCGGCGCUCUCUUGCCAGGUUGCGACCAGGGAAUGGCCUCAUGAGGUUUUUCCGCAGUGGAAAGGCCUCAUCAGCCACGAAGACAUGUGGCUGUGGUCCUCGGUGGUCAGCUCCUGGUAGUGGCAGGUCGGCAGGCAGUUGGAGGGUGCCAGACUGAAGGGCUGCACCAAAAGCAGAGUUGGCCAGAAUCCCACCAUCGCUGGUUCUUCCGUACCCCCCGACAUCAAUCACCCGGAAACAAUAUUCCGCGUCUACAACCGCCAAGAGAACAAGAGAGAAAGUUCCCUUGUAAUUGUAGAACUGGGAUCCUGAGUGAGCAGGGGCUUUGAUGACCACAUGCUUCCCAUCUAAUGCUCCACAGCAAAGAGGAAAAUUCCAGCCCUCCUCAAACCUCCCUGCAAUGGACCUCCACUCAUCUGUGCUGGGCACAGCCAUGAACUCUUCCACCAGAGAGUCCCAGAUUGCAGUGGCAACAUCAGGGACAAUGCUGGAGACAGUGGAGAUCCCAACACGGAAACUAUUUGCGAUGGUCCUGUAGGAGUCCCCAGUGGCUAGGUAUCUGCAGAAUAAAAAAAAAGUGUUGUAGUGAAGAUAGUAUAGGUAUCAUACAUUUACAAUAUCAACAUAAUGGAUCUAUUUAUUGUAUUUGACUACAUACUAUACUCAGUGCUUAAUUUGUCAAGUGGGAGCUCCCGGAGCGCUGAGGACGAGUAGAAAAAAAGCGGCGGGGGGGGGGGGGGGUUCUGGUGGGCGCUUUCGAACAACCCACACUUAUUUAGUCAACAUCGCAAGAAAUUAGCCUACUAAAGCCUCGUGAAUGGGGAUGUACCCAGAAAAAAUAGUAAACAUAUGUUAGGUUGGAGAGACACACAGCCACACGUUAUAAAGUUUACCGUUGUUUACUAACAGUUGAGGAAUAAUGUCAUGCACUCGCAGGUGCGUCAUUGAGUCAUUGUAUUCUCAACACAACAAAAUACACCAAGUCCUUGAAAAUGGAUCUCCGUCGCAUCAAAAGAUGAAAACAAAUAAAUAGGCUACCUGUCAUGAUCCGCCCCUGGUUUUCUCAUUCACCUGCCUACCACCCUGAUCACUCCCAAUUAACCCAACCACCUUCACCUGUGUUUCCCCUAUAUCAGUCCUCUCCUCCCAAACAUUCUCUGCCAGAUUGUCUCUUGUGUUUCACAGUGCUUUCCCGCGAUUCAACUCCUGACCUACCACCGCUCCUGUCUGCUCUCUGAUCCCUGCCUGUCUGACUAUUCCCCCGGUUCCUGAUCCCUGCCUGUCUGACUCUCCUUCUGGUUCCUGAUCCUCGCCUGUCUGACUCUCCUGCCGGUUCCUGAUCCCUGCCUGUCUGACUCUCCUUCUGGUUCCUGAUCCUCGCCUGUCUGACUCUCCUGCCGGUUCCUGAUCCCUGCCUGUCUGACUCUCCUUCUGGUUCCUGAUCCUCGCCUGUCUGACUCUCCUGCCGGUUCCUGAUCCCCGCCUGUCUGACUACCCCGUUGGUUCCUGAUCCCUGCUUGUCUGACUACUCGCCUGUCUACGAAAUAAACAAUUGACUCUGUUCCACGCUCGUCGCCAGUCUGUGCACUUGGGUUCAGCCAAACGCGCACGUUACACUACCUCAUAGAUUAUAGUAGGGCUAGUUAGAACAACAAUCUGGCAUGACAACUUGGCCACGUUAACAAAUAGAUACAUAUAUUAACCAGAACAAUACCAGAAUACCACAAAAACCAUAAUAAUAAUAAAGUUCAUUUUGGCCUUCUUGCCCCUCUUCUCCGCAGCCACUUUCGCUAACUCCUCGCAGAUUUAUCACACAUCACUCAACCGACUCGCGUCACUCCAAGUCCAACCUCUCUUGCUGCACAUCUGAACAAAACACACACAUGCACACAGUAUUAGCCCCUCACACACACACACACACACACACACUGUUGGGAAAAAUAACCUGCUGAGUACAUUACAAAUAUAGCUAACUCCUACCCUAGCCUGAUGAGCACAUCACAUGGCAGUCACAUUACAAUAUAGUCAACUUUUAACACAUAACACAAACAUGAUAAUAUAGUCAGGUCAAGGCCAGAGCCAAGGCCCCAUUUCCCAAGCAGGCAAAUGGUAGACACUCAGACAAUGCACCAGUCAUCCUCAAGAACGUGAGAGCCACAUUAAAUUAUCACACAGGAGACACUUCGGGGGGGCGCUCCCCCGUUUUAAUUUAUCACACAGGAGACAUUUCGAAGCUCUCCCAGGGCCUGGGAGCCAAGGCCAAGCAAAAACACACAGAACCACACACACCUCAAACGCACACACCUCAUCGAGAGGAGGAUACAGCAUAAAACUGUAUCACACAGGGACUCUGGACCUUCUUCUGAAGCAGACCUUCCACGGAGGCGAAGCUCUGGACGAACCAUCAGCGCUGAUUAGGGACUUAGACAUAUUCGAUUUCUCACGCUUUAUGACUCUGUAUAACCGUUGCCACUUUACUUAAUAAAUCCAAGGUCCUCGUGCCGACAGCCUUUAAUACCUCUCCGUCUCAUUUCAUCUGGUCCAGUAACUACACAGACCGUUUUUCCCCUCAAUACACACACACACACACACACACACACACACACACACACACACACACACACACACACACACACACACACACACACACACACACACACACACAAAGUUCCCGUCAUUACAAAGACAACUCCAAAAGGUCAUUGCCUGGCGAGCCA